GUAGUUCGUCUGAGGCUCCACACGGCUGCUAGUGUGCAGCAGAGCUGGGAUUCCCGCUGUGCCCAUAUCACACGCAGGACCAUGCUCUUAAGCAGGUAAGAAGGUGGCUAUCUGCAAGCCAGGAAGAGAGGCCUCACUAGCAACUGAAAAUGCUGUCUCCCUGACCUUGGACUUCUCAGCCUCCAGACCUGUGAGAAAUAAAUGUCUGUUAUUUAAGGCAAAAAA
rnacentral:lncRNA from 1 species